rnacentral:rRNA from 1 species
UUAAAAAGCUCGUAGUUGGAUUUCGGUUAAGAGCGACCGGUCCGCCGUUUGGUGUGCACUGGUUGGUUUUAACUUCCUGUAGAGACGUGCUCUGGGCUUAACGGUCUGGACUCGGAGUCUACGUGGUUACUUUGAAAAAAUUAGAGUGUUCAAAGCGGGCUUGCGCUUGAAUAUUUCAGCAUGGAAUAACACCAUAGGACUCCUGCCCUAUUUCGUUGGUCUCGGGACGGGAGUAAUGAUUAAGAGGAACAGUUGGGGGCAUUCGUAUUUCAUUGUCAGAGGUGAAAUUCUUGGAUUUAUGAAAGACGAACUUCUGCGAAAGCAUUUGCCAAGGAUGUUUUCAUUAAUCAAGAACGAAAGUUGGGGGCUCGAAGAUGAUUAGAUACCAUCCUAGUCUCAACCAUAAA